CCUAGAGUUGUAGGCUUUGCCUGCUAUCUCUUACCCAUGUCUUUUGAGUACCUUCGUUUCCUCGGCGGGUCCGCCCGCCGAUUGGACAAUUUAAAAACCAUUUGCAGUUGCAAUCAGCGUCUGAAAAAACUUAAUAGUCUA
rnacentral:misc_RNA from 1 species